rnacentral:snoRNA from 10 species
UGGACCAAUGAUGAGAGUGACUCAUGAACCAACAAUUAUGAUUAACCCAAUGCUGUGCACCUGAACUCUAAA